UACAGAGGUGGCAAGCGUUGUUCGGAAUUACUGGGCGUAAAGGGCGCGUAGGCGGCCGCCUAAGUCAGACGUGAAAUCCCUCGGCUUAACCGGGGAACUGCGUCUGAUACUGGAUGGCUUGAGUUCGGGAGAGGGAUGCGGAAUUCCAGGUGUAGCGGUGAAAUGCGUAGAUAUCUGGAGGAACACCGGUGGCGAAGGCGGCAUCCUGGACCGACACUGACACUGAGGAGCGAAAGCCAGGGGAGCAAACGGG
rnacentral:rRNA from 1 species